CGACCGUGGCAGGGCCCGCACGCUCACCGUCUGGGGGACGGUGGCGAGGUUGGCGGCCACCACGUUCGGCCCGCGCCGGACGACCA
rnacentral:tRNA from 1 species